GUGCUCAGUAAGUUCAUGUCAAACGAGUG
rnacentral:piRNA from 1 species